rnacentral:rRNA from 1 species
ACGUAGGGGGCAAGCGUUAUCCGGAAUUAUUGGGCGUAAAGAGUGCGUAGGUGGUUUUUUAAGCGUGAGGUGAAAGGCAAUAGCUUAACUAUUGUAAGCCUUGCGAACUGGAAGACUUGAGUGCAGGAGAGGAAAGUGGAAUUCCUAGUGUGGCGGUGAACGGCGUAGAUAUUAGGAGGAACACCAGUGGCGAGGGCGAGCUUCUAGACUGAAACUGACACUGGUGCACUUAAGCGUGCCGAACAAACAG